GAAGGAUGCAGCGCAGACGCCGAAUUAAUAUAUAAACGAAUGAUAUCUAAGGAUAACGAUUUUAGGAGGAAAGUAAGCUUUUAAAAGUGGAAUUCUUCUAAUAGUUGAACACGCAAUGAAUGAAGUUUUCAGGUAAACUCGACACAGGGUGCGACUACGAUCAAAAGUACCGAUAAACCGCAGGACAAGCAGGUGUAGUACAUAAAAGCAACCACAAACAAAAAGACACCCAAGCCUCAAGUUAUAGGUAGAGUAGAAUUCCAGUUACUUGAGCGGGACUGCAACUAAAUCUUCCCAAUUAAAGACAGUGAAAAAAUUGACAAUGGUGGGUACCCAAGAGCUAUACUAAGUUGGACAUGUUUUGCAGAAAUGGAAAAACAUUAAAAAUAAAUGGAAAUUCUAGCAUUAUUUGGGAAUAGUAGGCUGGAAAUAAGUCAGAAUUGUUCCAUCAUUUGGAUCUCUGUUACGAAUUUCACUCUGAUCGCUCCAAAAGUACAAUACAGAGUUCGUUUGGUGUGAGUUUAUGGAAAAGUGGUUGGAUAUUAGCCAGUAGAUCACAAAUUUUUCUCAGAAGAAUAAUCCUCAUUUUAUCCCAAAUUGUCAUUGUCAUAUUAUGUUGUGUAUUUUAUAAUAUUUAAGUAUUGCUUCUGAAAUAAUGCCCUUUAAAAAUUACUAAACGGGAGAGAUUAUGCCAAUUUUGAGAUGAUGUCGAUAGCCUUAAAUAAGAUUAUCAUCGAAACGAAGCACUCUACCAAAGUUAGUUUGAGAAAGA